ensembl:miRNA predicted gene, 25594
GCACGGUGGUUCCUGCAUGAAAACAGUGGCCGGCAGGGCCUGGACCGACACCACCGCCUCUGCAGUCACAGUGAAAUCGGCC